rnacentral:rRNA from 1 species
AGACGCACUCGUGUCAGCCGCCGCGGUGAUACGAAGGGGGCUAGCGUUGCUCGGAAUCACUGGGCGUAAAGGGUGCGUAGGCGGGUCUUUAAGUCAGGGGUGAAAUCCUGGAGCUCAACUCCAGAACUGCCUUUGAUACUGAAGAUCUUGAGUUCGGGAGAGGUGAGUGGAACUGCGAGUGUAGAGGUGAAAUUCGUAGAUAUUCGCAAGAACACCAGUGGCGAAGGCGGCUCACUGGCCCGAUACUGACGCUGAGGCACGAAAGCGUGGGGAGCAAACAGGGUAUAGACUA